rnacentral:rRNA from 1 species
UACGAAGGGGGCUAGCGUUGUUCGGAAUUACUGGGCGUAAAGCGCGCGCAGGCGGUCUUCCAAGUCAGUGGUGAAAGCCCGGAGCUCAACUCCGGAACUGCCAUUGAAACUGUUGGACUUGAGUACGAGAGAGGUGAGUGGAAUUCCCAGUGUAGAGGUGAAAUUCGUAGAUAUUGGAAGAACACCGGUGGCGAAGGCGGCUCACUGGCUCGUAACUGACGCUCAGGCGCGACAGCGUGGGGAUCAAACAGG